rnacentral:lncRNA from 1 species
GCUGAGGAAGUUGCCUCUCUCUGGCGCCUGCAUUCAAUGAACGUUUGUAAUGUUAGCAGGUGUGGACCUUGAGGAGAUUUUCUCUCCCUGGCUGCCCAAUUAUCAUUUUUAGAGAGGCAAUGCGAUAAUUGCUGAACGAUGUCACCUGACAUUCCUAGCGGGUGGGAGAGAGCCCUCUCCUGCCCCGCUCAUUGCCUAACUACCUGUAACAGGUGUGUGGGUGAGUGCUCCCUGUGAUGGAACGGUGUCCUGUUCAGGACUGGGUGCCACCUGGCACCUUGAGCUGCCAGGACCGGCUCGGGCUGCUCGCGAUCCCAAACUAGAACAAAUGGAAAUGUUCAGUUGUCUAGCUCACAGGGAUAUCCACAAGCCAGACCCAGAAAGCCUUUGCUACCAUUGAUGAAGAUGCCAAGUCCACAGCCCAACAGCCAGAAGACCCUUGGUCUAGACUAGUGGCCUUGUGAGAAGAGAGAGCAACACCAGCAAUGCACAUGCAAAGAGGAAAGGCCCUGCAAGGAUGCUAAGAACGAGGACGGCCAUCCGCCCACCAAGGAGAGAAGUAUCAGGAGGAACAAACCGGCCAACACCUUGAUCUUGGACUUCCAGCCUCCAGAACUGUCCGCAGCUUGGGCUACCUUCCAGCAUAAAGUCACUAAAGAUGUGCCGGGCAUGAUGAAGGAAGAAAGCGACUACAUGCUGAAGGAGAUGGUGCGGGGACUCGCUAGUACCUAUUGGCAGGACCUGGGGAACUUUGGUGGGUGCUUGAUAAUGGGGACUGGAAUAAAAACUGGCUAAGCAAAAAUUUAUGGACUUGGAUUCACUUUCUCAGAACACAGUUUAAUACCUUGGCAAG